rnacentral:rRNA from 1 species
AGCGAACGCUGGCGGAAUGCUUUACACAUGCAAGUCGAACGCACCGCAAGGUGAGUGGCGCACGGGUGAGUAACACGUGGGAAUGUACCCUUUGGUUCGGAAUAACGUCUGGAAACGGACGCUAAUACCGGAUGAGCCCUGCGGGGGAAAGAUUUAUCGCCAAAGGAGCAGCCCGCGUCUGAUUAGCUAGUUGGUGGGGUAACGGCCUACCAAGGCGACGAUCAGUAGCUGGUCUGAGAGGAUGAUCAGCCACACUGGGACUGAGACACGGCCCAGACUCCUACGGGAGGCAGCAGUGGGGAAUAUUGGACAAUGGGCGAAAGCCUGAUCCAGCCAUGCCGCGUGAGUGAUGAAGGCCUUCGGGUUGUAAAGCUCUUUCGCACGCGACGAUGAUGACGGUAGCGUGAGAAGAAGCCCCGGCUAACUUCGUGCCAGCCGCCGCAGUAACAC